UGUUUGAAAGAGUCCUAGGGGUAGUUUGUUUUUUUGGAGAAGAGUUGUUGUAACAAUCUCCUUUUAUCAGAGGAGGUAAAGUAGUGUUUGAAGUGGUCUUUGUACGUGUCAUGUAACUCCUUCCUUCUUUUUAGGAGGAGAUCUAUUUAAAUUUAGCAAUGAAUCCAUCGCAGGAGAUACCAACCAAAAAGUACGUAUAACAACUGGAGGUUGGAGCUUCCUCGAAAAGCUAUGCAUUUAGUGUCUUAUUCCGCAUCCUUGCCUUUCACGCAUUUCA
rnacentral:lncRNA from 1 species